rnacentral:rRNA from 1 species
UACGUAGGGUGCAAGCGUUAAUCGGAAUUACUGGGCGUAAAGCGUGCGGAGGCGGGUUUGUAAGUCUGUCGUGAAAGCCCCGGGCUCAACCUGGGAAUUGCGAUGGAGACUGCAAGGCUUGAAUCUGGCAGAGGGGGGUAGAAUUCCACGUGUAGCAGUGAAAUGCGUAGAGAUGUGGAGGAACACCGAUGGCGAAGGCAGCCCCCUGGGUCAAGAUUGACGCUCAUGCACGAAAGCGUGGGGAGCAAACAGG